rnacentral:rRNA from 1 species
UACGGAAGGGGCAAGCGUUGUUCGGAAUCAUUGGGCGUAAAGGGCGCGUAGGUGGUUCUGUAUGUCUACCGUGAAAGCAUACAGCUCAACUGUAUUUUGUCGGUAGAAACUGCAGGACUUGAGGCUGGGAGGGGCUGGUGGAAUUCCCGGUGUAGUGGUGGAAUGCGUAGAUAUCGGGAGGAACACCAGUGGCGCAGGCGGCGUCCUGGACCGGCACUGACGCUGAGGAGCGAAAGCGUGGGGAGCGAUCCGG